ensembl:lncRNA
GUUAAGUGAUAGCCCCCAGCCUCUUAGCCACUGGGACGGCGGAGCCACUGAGAGCGAGCCCGGGAUCCCCAGCCCGGGGUUCAGGGUAAACAAGAUUACCUGGGGUGGCAGGAACUGGUGGAGACAGAAGGUGUUUCCAAACUUAAUCUGAAAUUAAUUAGAAAACGAAACAAGCCAAAGGACAAACAUCUGUGAGCAGAUGAUGUGCAGAGGCAAACAAAUUGGACACAUCACAUUCCGCUUGAGCUGGGAGUAGGAUCCUGCCAGGCUACAUAGGGAGUAGCCGGAGAGGCUUUCAGGGGGAGCAGUCUCAGUGUUUACUUCUCAGGAUCAAAUGACGGAGCAGCGCCAAGCUCCAAAGAUGCGGUCAGGGAGAGGGCUCUGCAGGGGAGCUGUGCGUCGGGGAGAUGAUCAUAAAAACUCAUCAGAACACACGCUGUUCAGGACCUGGGAGUGAGGAGCAGAGUGGUGCGUAUGAGAAGGGAGAAGCCUCCUGAAGCAGCCAGGACCGGGGGCUCGCCCGUACCCCACGACAACCUUCCAGGCGGGAUUGGUGGUGAUGGCUGUUUCAGGGCGCCUCCCUCACAACCCCCUUGCCAUUGCUGAGUCAAGGUCUCCCUACCUAAUGCAGGACAUGGCAGCUCCCCUGACCAUGGGAGCAGGCUUCCUCGUGCACCCGGCAGGCUGGAAGGGGUGCCGGCACUGAGGUCCCGGAAGCACCCCUCCACUCCGUGUGCCCCCAGGUGGACUGCUCAGACACGGCCCAUGGAGGAGCCCACGGUCCCGGCUGAGCGCGUGCACACGCGGGACCUGCCACUUUGGGCAUCCUCACUGGCCUCCUCACCACCCCCUCCCUUUCCCCUUCUCCACCUGCUUCCUGGGACCAGUCCCCAAACAAGCUGCUAGCACCCCAAAUCUGACCCGAGCUGGGGGCUGCUGCUAGGAAUGCAGACAGACAAGGAUGUUGGUGGCAAGCAGACGGGAUGGGGGUUGGUAACCUGGAUGAGUGAGAGACACUGUGCACAGACCUGUCCCAAAGCCGGAGAGAUCCCUACGGGGACUCUGGUGGUUCCGACUCCCGUUUGGAUCAACUGCCUGGUGACCUCAUCACCGCCGUUCCCCAGAUCCACGUCAGCCCUGAAGUCGGGGACCCCCGGCACACAGGAAGCCACACUCGGAGCAUUACCUUAGCUCUGACCCCAGCAGACACCAAGCAACCCUGCCCUCUUCUUUCUAAAGAGGGAGCAGACACCCAAGGAUUCUUACCCGAGUUAACAGCUCCCCUCGCCUUGUGCAUUGCGGUCACUUGUAUCUCAGCAAGAAUGAGCUGGAAGUCUGCCGAUGGAGGUGGGAGAGAAAAUGGGUCCUGGGUCCUUCUGGUCCUAGGGCAGGGGGGGCCCGGCUCCAAUGCCCUCCGGCCCAGCAUUUCAGGUGUCCGUGUCACCUGCCUGAGCCCCUGCUACUCCACUCGCCUGUUGGUGAGGGACAGAAAAGCUCCCUCACUAGGCUACUGUGAGGACUAUGGGAGAUGGUCAGCACCAACUUGUGGAAUUACAACCCAGAGACAGAGAUGACAGAGCACAUCAACUACACUGAGUAGAAGUUGCUCUCUCUUCCAUAAUGUUUCCUCCAUUGUUUUUUGCAUCAUAUCAAGCACAGGAAGAUACACCUGGAUCUAACACAUGUUGUAAAUCAACUAUACUCCCCUCCCCCCUAAAAAAAAAAAAAAAAAACCAUGAGGGUAGGAGGGGCUUUGUGGGAGCCCUCCUUUCCUCUCCUCCCACCCCUCCACCUCAUCACAGAUGCUAUUGGCGAGCAUCUGUUAUAAGCCACAUGCCCGCUCAGCGUUUUCUCACUAAAUGCUCCCCACACCACCCUCAAAAGACGAGAGCUGCCUCCCGUCCCUGCCCCGCCCCAAGAACGCUCGGCGAAGAUGGACAUGCGCCACACCUGAGCUGCCCAAGACAGCAACACCAGCGACCAGCUGCUCAGUGUUUGGCCUGUGCCUCGUGCAACCAACGGGCUUUUACUUAAUUUUAAUUCCUUAUGCACAACUAGCCACAGGUGAAACUGGUCACCAUGUUGGACAGCAGAGAUACACACGGGGGUGAGAAAGAAAAGCAAACUGAAGUCUAAAGGAGUUCGGCAACUGCCCAAGGCCACGGACCUGGAGGAAGGUGGAGGUCAGAGCUGCUCCCACUCUCCGCAGCUUCCCGUGUGCGUCUCCUAAAGCGAACGGCCAAGCUGGCCGUGGACUUACUCAGACACAGGAGACGAGAUCUGAAAGUCAAGACGGGCCGGGUGAAAAAGACACUCAGCAACCAGAGAACGGGCUCAGAGAGACAAGGAAAUGAAUAUUCAAAGAAGAUAAUGGUGGUGGAAACGCUCUGUAAACUGUGAAGUGCUGUCUCAGGCACACGUCGUGAAGUUGCCAAUGAGUGAAGGAAUCUGUGCCUCUGGAGCUGCAUGCCAGCCCAAGGUGAACGGAGGAGCUGCACAGAGUAAUCGGAUGUCAGAGAAGAAGAUGGAUUCCUCGCUAACUGGGCAUCGUGUGUUUUUCACUUGCUACGUCUGACAACCUGUUGGGGGUUGGGAGGGCAAGGUGAGGAAGCCAUUUGCUCAGAGCCUCCCUCCUGCCUGGAAAAGGAUGCCCUAGAGAGACAGGUGGCUUAUUCAGGUUCUGAAGAUCCCUGAGCAGAAGCACCAUACUGCAGUGAAGAGGACAGCCUCUCAGUCCAGCUCUGGGGCUUCAAAUCCCAGCUCUGCUGCUUCUCAGCUGGUGAAUCUGGGCAUGUGACCUCACCUCCUCAUGCUCCCACGUCUUCAUCUACUAACCGGGAUGGGUGGUGUCACGGUACCUACUUUAUAUAGCACGUGGGAUGGUUAAGCGGAACCAUCUAUGUGUAAAGUACUGGAUACAAUGCUUAGAAAUCAGUCAACCCAUGUCAUAAGGCACCAUAGUUAUUACUCGGGCCUAGUUUUUGAACUAUGGUGCUGAAGAAGACUCCUCAUUGUCCCUUGGACAGCAAGGAGAUCAAACCAGUCAAUCUUAAAGGAAAUAAACACUGAAUAUUCAUUGG